AUGCAGUCGACCGGCAGCACGGGGGCAACCCUGGUGGCGAGUGGCGAACGGGUGAGUAAUACAUCGGAACGUGCCCAGUCGUGGGGGAUAACUACGCGAAAGCGUAGCUAAUACCGCAUACGAUCUACGGAUGAAAGCGGGGGAUCGCAAGACCUCGCGCGAUUGGAGCGGCCGAUGGCAGAUUAGGUAGUUGGUGGGGUAAAGGCUCACCAAGCCUUCGAUCUGUAGCUGGUCUGAGAGGACGACCAGCCACACUGGGACUGAGACACGGCCCAGACUCCUACGGGAGGCAGCAGUGGGGAAUUUUGGACAAUGGGCGAAAGCCUGAUCCAGCCAUUCCGCGUGCAGGAUGAAGGCCCUCGGGUUGUAAACUGCUUUUGUACGGAACGAAACGGCGCUUUCUAAUACAGAGCGCUAAUGACGGUACCGUAAGAAUAAGCACCGGCUAACUAC
rnacentral:rRNA from 1 species